AAUCUCCUGCUCAUCUCCUAACAGGGUUUCCACCUCGUGGUGCUGCCUCAUACCCACCUCCUGAACGUGCAGGUGGUGUUGCAGACCCAUAAGGAACAUUAUUUCCGGAUGGCACCUGUCCAUGGGGGCCAGGGGCAGCUCUGGUAGGUGCAUCAUAGUUAGUGCCCCUGGGUGCAUCAUAAACCGGUCCUCUCUGCCCAUCAUAAGCUGGCCCUCUCUGUGCAUCAUAACCAGGUCCCUUUUGAGCAUCAUAACCAGGCCCUCUCUGUGGAUCAUAACCAGGUCCUCUUGGUGCAUCAUAGCCAGGUCCUCUAGGUGCAUCAUAGCCGGGUCCUCUAGGUCCAUCAUAACCAGGUCUGCUAGCAGCAGGGCCAGAUUGAGGUCCAGCAUAAGCAGGAGUACCACCACCACCACCACCACCACCUGCAGCAGCAACACCACCACCUGUGGCACCAGGGAGGGGGGCACGUCCCUGUCAUACAAAGCAAGCGCAUUAUCAGUCUUCACCUUCACCAUCUGAAUAAUGGUCCAUAAGGAAUCAGAGGGAAAAGCAUCGCCUCAUAAACAAUCAGAAUUAACUCCUAGUGAGUUCUCCCCCAGCCAGAUUCAAACAAUUCAAUUAACCUCUUAUUUUUCAGCAGAAUUUCACCUUUUAUUUGAAACUGUUGAGCCUCAUUACCCAGAUUGGGACUCAGAAUACAUCCACAUUCAAUGCAAUAAGCACUUCAAUCCUUAAAUAAUCUGCAUUAGCAGCUUGGCUUUCAAGGGAAGCAAGGUCCCACAUGCCCAUACCAACUAAAUAUUAAUAUUUAAGUUUAUCUGGCUUGU
rnacentral:lncRNA from 1 species